rnacentral:lncRNA from 1 species
CCUCUUUCACAUUUUCUAGCUGUCUUAGCUCCAGCUGACCACCAAGGUCGUCUAACCACCCAAGUUCUCCCACCUUACUGCAACCGGAUCCAGCACCUGCUACAAAGCAUGUAAGGGUCUGUAGGGAAGUGAGGUGUCUAAGGUCAGCAGGCAUGGUCUUUAACUUUUCACAUCCGUGAGUGUAGAGGUGACGGAGGGCAGUCAUGUACUUCAUUCCCUUUGGAAGUCGUUCAAGAUUGUGACAGUCAGAAAGGUUCAAUGUUUGCAGAUGAUAUAGGAUGCUUAUAUCUUUAGGAAGUGAUUUAAUAUCAUAGCUUCCUGAGAGAUCAAGAUACCUCAGGUGAUGAAGACAUCUGGGUCCGAGGAAUGAAGCUCGGUUGAUCUUUAUCUUUAGUGCUCGCGGAGACAUGUACUUUGACAAAAGCUGCAAGUCUACGUAUACAUCUGCCUCACAUAUCAGUGUUUGUAUAACGUCAUUAUCUUUAUCUUUAUCUUUAACUUUAUCUUUAGUGCCUUUCUCCUGGGAAUCAUUCAGAAAAGUUUCUAACAAUAAUAAAUGACGAGGUGAAUGUGGAAAAUCCCCACUUUUACUUAGAGCAGCGCAUUCUUUUCCCAUAGAAUCUAGUGCAACGUCAUGCAUAAGGUCAUGGAUCUUACAAGUAACUCUAGAGACCUCUAUAUCAGUGAACUCAAAUGGGAUCCCCUUCACAUCAUGGAAAAAUGACCUUGACGCAAGCUCAAUGAAAAUAUUUUUACCUGAAAUUUCAGGAUGUUCUUCUCCUUGUAGCACUGGGAUAAAACCAUUAGCCAUCCAUAACUGGAUCAACAUUUCCACGUCAAUCUCAUAAUCCUUGGGAAACAUAGCACAGAAAGCAAAGCAUUGCCGCAUAUGUGAUGGCAAGCAAUUGUAACUAAGCUUGAGUACUGGUAAGAUUCCGUUUCUAUCAUCACAAAUCUUUUUUCUCCUUAGCACAUCCUUCCAUUCACGCGCGGUGGUCUUGGUACUUAACACAGAGCCCAAUGCUGUAGCAGCUAAAGGAGAACCAGCACAUCUCUUUGCAACAUCACCAACCAUGUUAACUAGUUCACGAGGCCAAUCCUUUUCUUGUUUUGAGCUGAAUGCUCUUGACUUGAUAAUUUCCUCUAUGAAAUUUUCACCCAAGCGUCCAAGUUCAUAGGCUCCUUCAGCUGUACCCAUCAUUAGUUUUGCAACUUCUUGAUCACGAGUUGUUGUCAACACUGAGCUGCCACUGCCACCAUGAAGGUAGGACUUCAGUUUUUCCCACUUGUGUGCCUCAUCACGGUUCCAGACAUCAUCCAGUACAAGGAGGUACCUCUUCCCACUCACUGCAUUUUGAAGCUUGUCCAAUGCUGAACUUCCAUUUGCAUGACAACCAUUCUUCUUAGCUUCUUUCGUUUCAAACUUCUUCUUAGCUUCUUCCACAAUUCUUUUAGCCAGAGUAUCCACAUCAAAGUUGUCAGAGACGCACACCCAUAGUCGCAGCUGGAAAUGCUUCUGAAUCUCAGGAUCAUUGUAAACAAGCUGGGCUAAGGUGGUCUUCCCCAUCCCUCCCAUCCCGACGAUAGGAAAGACAGUGAGCUUCACAUUGCUAGCUUUAUCAAGUAACGACUUAAUAAUCUUCUCCUUGUCUCCAGCUCUGGAUCUGCCGGCAAUGUCCACAGGGUCGAUGAUUUUAGAACUAUUCUCCCUCAAGUGAUUUACGGGCACUGGUGGCCCUGGUCGGAAUUUGAACCCGAAACAAUUCAUCUCUGCGAUAAGGACAUCAAGUUCUUCCAAAAUCAUGCGGAGCUUGUUGCCCAUCCUUUUACGGAACACAAAACGGUUGUGAGAAGGGAAGAGCUUUAUUACAUCCAUGCCGAGCUCCUUGUAGUGCCCCUCCUCCCUGGCUUUGCGGCGGAGCGCCUCGUACUUGAACUCGUCCAAGACGUCAUUCGCCUGGUAGGCCACUUGCCGGACCUCCUCCAGCCAAGCUUUCGCCCCUUCUCGCUUGGCUGCCGCCUGCUCCUCGGCGUCGGUGAUGACGUCCAGGAUGGCCGGCAGUUUGCGCUUGAGGAGCUUGUGCUGCUUCUCCAAGCCCUCCAUCACCUGGUACUGCUCCAGGAGGUAGCUGGAGGCCUUCUCCUUCACCAUGGACACCAGUGGCCCGACCACCAUGGUGGCCAGUACCUCAGCCAUCGGAACGCCUGGAGCUCGAUCAGAACACACGCGCAGGAUAGUGGACACAGGGAAACACAGUUGCAAGGUGGAGAGGGUGGCGAAGGUAGACGAUGGGUUUGAGAAGCAGCUUUUGGGGAAAAUGGAGACUGCCAGCAUGCAUUGACCUUGGAGGACCCAAUUGGGAUGGGUUUGAUUGGUUGCACUAAAUUACAGCAAUAUAGAAUGACGUUUGUACAGAUGUGUUCCAGCUGUCCUGAUAGGGAUCGAAGACCAUCCAUGUCGGAGCAUUAUUGCAAUUUGCAGACCAUCCAUGUGGGCGCAAUAAAAUUACAAACAAUAUAGAAUGACGUUUGUACAUAUGUGUUCCACUUGUACAUCUUGAUCUGCAACUCUUCAAACAACGAGAAGCCAGCUUGAGGUGCCGUAUCACUAACCGCAAGUAUUAGACAGAGCAGAAUCCAGAAGCUACAUGGUUAAUUAACAAUAACCUUGAUCAAUGUGGAGCAACCGGCGAUGAAGCAGGAGGUUGUUGCGGGCCAGAGCAAGAUAUAUAGGGGAAGGAGCAGUGCGUGGCUAUCCAACAACCUAAUGAUUCGAGGGGUGUUCCUCACGCACACCUAAACAACAGUGAAAGGGUUCUAACUUUAAAGCAUGCUUGAGACUAUGACCAAAAGUGAUGCAUGUGUAGAAACCACCGGGAUUAAGAAUUAGAGAUGAGAAGUAACUCGCAAGUUGAAAAUUUAGACUUCAUGAAUUAAUGACGUCGAAGGAGUUUGAGUACAUGUUACUAUGUUAGGCAUGCUUGGAUGCAGAAUUGCGGAUACUGAUACUCGAUGACGAGGACCUCGAGAGUCUACUGUGUAGCAGUGUGGUUACAUACUUACAUUAGCCUUCACUGCAAGACAUAAGAAAAAACCUCUUGCUACAAUUUUGUCAGAUCACCAGCAUUUUCAUCUGACUUGGCAAUUUAUGAUGAGAGAACCGUCAGGUGAAGCCUGUCGUUUUCAGCUGUAUGGAUGUAUGUCAUUGCGUUUACAAUCAUACUUGGAUGGGUGACUCUACUUCCUUCUGUCCAUACAACAACACUACAGCGUACGCUGAUCUGGACCGCGGGUUGAUUUGCGGAAAAGACAGGGGCUUAAGAGCAAAAGCGGCGCGGCGCGGCAUAGUUGACCGGUACGCGGCUGGAUUGACUUGCCGUGAGCCGUCGGAUCUUGAUCCGACGGUCGCGGUCGUCGAUGACUCGCGGCGGCGGCGGGAAAAGAACGGGCGGCGGCGGUGAGCGGCGGUGCGCGACGGCGAGCGGCGGCGGUUCGCCGGAGUUGGCCGAAACGGUGCUCCGGGGCACGGUUGGCGCGCGGAUUUCACCAGAAGCAAGAGGAGAACACGGCGAACUCGUUUUGGGGGUCCUUGACGACCGGAGCUCACCGGAGGCAGCGCUUGACGGCGGGGAAGCGGCGGCGGCGCGGGAGCUCGGGCGCUAGGGUUUCGGGUGCUGCGGGCGCUGGUGGAGGAGACCGGGAGGGGCGGCGGCUUAUAUAGGCGCUUGGAGAUAGAGGCGGCGCCCCGGGUUUGAACUCCCCGAAAGAGUCGGAGCGGAGGCGGGCGGUUGCGUGUUGGCAGCGCGGCGGUUGCGGGAGUCCCGGCCGGAUACGGCCGGAGGAGGGAGAUGACGGGUGGGGCCCACCCGUCAGCGGACGCGGGCGUAGGCGGGCUGGCGCAGCUGUUGGGCCGGCGCGCGGUUCGCGGGCCGCGCGGCAGAGGAGAGGCGCUGGGCCGGCCAAGGGUGGAGCAGGCCGAGCGGCGAGUCGCGCGGGGAAAAGGAGCUGGGCCGGAGAAGCUGCGGUGCAGCUGGGCCGCAAGGAGAAGAAGAGGAGGGGGCCGGCGGGCGGUGGAAAGGCCGGGGAGCUGCGGCUCGGCUGGGCCGAAAGAAAGAAGAAAGAAGAAGAAGGAGAGAUGCGGCCCAGGUGGAGAAGAGGAAAAAGAAAGAGAAAGAGAAAAAGGAAAUGGUUUUGGAAAUUUGAAUUUAAAUUUGGAAAUUCAAAUUUUGAUUCAAACUCAAGCAAUCAAAAUAAAUGCACCAGCAUGAAUGCACAAUUAACUCCUAUGAUGAAUUUAAUUAAAUUAAAGAAAAUGAAUUUAAAUGCCUAGAAUUUAAAUGCACCCUAAUUUGAGCAAAUUUUAAUGAAUUUGAAUUGUUUAAAAUUUUGGGUGUUACACGCGCCGGGCUCGCCACCCGGGGAGCUGCGGCGGCUGGAGGUCGCCGGCUGGUGCUUCAUCCGAUUGUGCAUUUAUAAUCUUUCUUUUUAUCAUUUUGUAUCACAUUUUGAAUUUAUUUAAUGGACCUUAAUUUUGAACUACAUUUUUAACAUGGAAAUCUAUAUCCUCAUCACUUCCUUUAUAUAUCAUUAUAUUUAUAAAUGAUGACCCAAAUCAUGCGUAUAUAUUUUAAUUAUUAUUUUUUAUACUUAUAGUGUAAGAAAUAGACAAUUUAUACUAAGCGGUUAUUUUAAGUUAGUUUUUAUAAUGACAUAGGUGCUGAUUAUUAAUUGUUUAUUUCUUACUCUGUUAUUGGUAUAGAAAAUAAUAAUUAAGGUAUAUAUAUUCGUGAAAGGUGUCACCAUUUAUAAAUAUAUAAAGGAAGUGAAGAGAAUAUAGAUUUCCAUGUUAAAAUUAUAGUUGAAACUUAGAGUCCAUUAAAUAAAUUUAAACGCAUACUCGUGAUGUCAAGUGAAAAUGAAAGAUUAUAAAUGUGGAUGAAAACGUUACAUAGGAAUUACUAAGUAAUGUCUAUCACAAUAGGAUGAAGAUAAUAAUGUAUUUAUAUAUAAGUAUUGUAUUAGAAUAUUUAACAAAUGAGAGAGACCUCAAGGUAAGUUUGAAUUGUUAGCUAUGUUCCCUCAUUUUUUUUUCAAUCGGAGACUCAUCAUUAAUUCUCAAGAAACGUGCUAGGAAAAAAGGAUAAAUCAUAGAAAGUCUCGCAAAAAUUAGAAACAUCCGGCACCAAUCCUAUAAACUCUAAUAAUCAUAACUAUCCGUAUUAUCUUUGAUUACACAUUACUAUCAUUAUAAAAAUAUUCUAAAGUAAGCCUCUAAACCUAUAUCUAAAUUACCCAUCUCGGUUAUUAUAAAAAAAUAAUCUAAAGUAACCAAAUAAUCUUCAUCUAAAUUAUCCAUAUAUAUCGUUAUUAAAAAUAACCUAAUAUAAACACUUAAAUCAUAAUCUAAUUAUCUAAAUUAUCCAUAUAUAUCGUUAUUAAAAAUAACCUAAUAUAAACACUUAAAUCAUAAUCUAAUUAUCUAAAUUAUCAUUAUACAAAAAUAUUCAAAAGUAAAUCAAUAUAUGAUUAUAAAUUACCCAUUUUUAUUAUUGUAGAAACUAGUUAAGUAUAUAUGCAUGAUGGGUGUCACCAUUUAGACCGUUUAUACAUGUAUGGGAUGAAGCAAUGAAAAAGACUGAUUCUCAUGUCAAACAGGGUGUGAUUCAAAUUGAAAAAAAAAGUAUGAAUGUGAGGAAAAAGUAUAUAAAGUAAUUAUUAAUGAAAGUAAAAUCGGAUAAAGAUAAGUAUAUCUAUAUAAGAGUAUUGUGUUAGAAUAUUAAAUAAAUGAGAGAGGGAAGGUAAAUAAUUUUGAUGAUUAGUCAGGAGGUCUAAUUUUUAAAUAAUUUUUUAAUACAAUAAUUUUUGAAAUUAUUAGUCGCCCCAGCGGGGAGCACAGGUUGAUAAACUAGUGGUGCUAAUUAGGGGCUUACAUGCCUGUAUUUUUUUAAGUGGGUAGAGUAGCUCCCAUAAAGCUCAGGUCAUCUGUUCAAUCUUCCUUCCUUUCGUAUUUUAGCACCAACCAAGCAAGCAGUUACUGGAAAUCUGGAAAUCAAUUGGGACGUCCAACAAAGCACUCGGUUGUGUAUGUAGUCUUAUGGGUCGGGUAUGAGCAGGGUUACUUGCCCCGAUCAGAUUUAAGCCAUAGCCAACACUUUCCCGUUCUAAAUUAUGUAUUGUUUUAGUUUCUAUACUAUAUAUUUAGAUUUAUGUUAUAACUAAAUUUAUAUGUAUCUGAAAAAGUUAAAAUGACUAUAAUUGAACGAAGGAAGCACUGGGUGUAACUUUUUCCACUGCCUAAGACGUGAUAAAUGGUCCAGUCUAGACUGUAGAGACAGACUAGUACCUAUCGAAGCUCCUAAUUCUCUUAUUAUUCCAAUCAAAGUUAAUAAAAUGUGAUGUAGGCGGACAUCGAUGAGGGUGACUUUUCCUGAUUAUCACGUCGAGUCUGAAUUCUUCACUGAUCGAUCCAUGUCGCAGAGAGCGGAGGCGGUACGCUUCGAACUGCAGCACGCGCGCCGCAACUACGCGGACGGAGAAGAAGAGAAUAUAGUGCAACAAUGAACAAUCAAACCGCUGGACGUGAAAAGUCUACGACGCGACCAUCAAUCCCCGGCGAGCCACGCCGCCGCGGUCUUCGUUCGGCAACACUGACCCCUUGCUGGCCGUGUUGCCGCGUGCCACGAGAUACCCAGCCUCACGCAAACACGCACGAUCACACACACACACACAAACGAAAACGAAAAGGGGAAAGCUCUCGAUCGAUCUCCAUGGACUCCAAGGAUGGCGCCGCCGCAGCGUCCGGUGAGGGUAGUAGGCUGCGCCGUAUCAUCGCAGGCGCCGGUCCAGUUCCUGCCCGUCGCCGGCCAGCUUGCGCUGUCGUUCUACGGCGUGCGCGAGGAGCCCCAGCGGCUGCAGCUGCUGGCCUCCAUCGCCCUCUGCUACGCGGCGGCCGUGGCGCUCGCGUUGUUCACCAGGCGGCUGGAUGCCUCUCCUGCUGUUCCUGGCGUCCCAUCGCCGUACCAAAAUGGCUUCUAAUUACCAAGUCCUCCAUGCCCACCAUUUUGCUCUUGGCAUUCAUAUGGAUAUGAACCUGCUACUGGAUCGAGGUGCCAUGAUCCUGCCGAGAAUCAGUUCAGAUCAAUUCCUGGUGCAACUAUAAUUAGUGAUCUGAUACGGUAUGCAUUUCUAGUGUGGCUGCUGUUUGAGCCCUGUUUCAAUAUAUAAUUGAACUAGUGCUGGCGGAUUUAGUUGGAAGUUUUACGAGUGGGUGUUGAUAUGUUCCAAAUAAGAUGCAGGUGGAUUUAGCAGUUCCAACAACUCAAGCCCAUAUUUCACCAAUAAGAGUUUAAACUGGGCCUUUUCAGGCCCAAUGGCAAAAGAGCAGCUGACGAGUGACGAUUUUUAUUCAAAUGAGAUGCAAUCCGGUCGCAAAGAACUCCUCGUUCAAAUGAUAUGGAUAUGGAGAUCAACAAUUUGUUUUGGAUGUAUAAAGAUCAAUAAUUUGUCCGACACUAUUGUAUCCAAACUAUCGCUCUCAAGAUUAGUACAGCACGUCACAGAAUCUUUAUCCAUGAUUUGUCACAGAAUGCGGCUCCUUUGUUAACUGCGGCAGCGUAGACAAACAGACGUGCAACUCUGAAAGAUCAAACGAUUGGAUAAACAACUCUGGCCCUCGUCGCCCUUGCCUACGCGGCCGUCGCCGCACUCGUGUGGUUCAGCAGGGGGCUCCCCGCCGACGGCAGCACGCACUGGAAGAAGCUGGCGGCCACAGGCGUCGGCGGCGUUCUGGCAUACUGCACCAACCCUACGGUGCCGUGCGGUCUGUUCCUAUUCAUAUACAUACUCUGAUGAGUAGUACAAUCUGCCGGCGUUGCCAUGAUCCAAGGAAUUUAAGUCUACUAGGGGCGUCAAUUGCUUGGGGCCUGUUUUGGACACAAUAAUUUUGUAGUAAGAUUUUCGCAGGAAUCUCACAAGCAUAUGUUCAGUUUUACAUGAAUUAGGAUUUACGAGUUUAGUGAUAGUCUGCUCCUUUCUGAUUGUCCCUGUGCCUGCUCUUUUCUGCAUGAUUAGUUGGCUGCUCUGUUUUCGGAUUUAUUGGAAGCUGAAGUCUUUUGGUUGAUGCACUUUAGUGAUAUGUGUUCUUUAUGCACUUUAGUUUUCAACACCCUGCUGUAGGAUGCAGUUUGCCAUGCCCAGCAUAUAUUUAUCGAAAUGACAAGCCUCCAAAACUUUGCGUAACGUGCGUUGCAAAUGAAGGCUUAUGGUAAUGUUAGCUGUCUGGUGCACUAAGUAUGUGUGGGUACUAAUCACCCUCUGCUUUAUUUCACCAUGCUAGAAUUGCAGACCAUGUGCCUUGGCGGAUCACCGGCCGGUGCCUUUCCUGGCUCUUCUCAGUCAUGCAGCUAUUUGCAUUGACCUUUUUGUCCUGGCGCUUCCAGGACGACUUUGUUGUCUUUACAAAUAAAUUGUUCUCAGGACCAAUUUCUUAUGGCUCAUGGUAUCGUUAAUUCGUUAUGGACCAUGACGCAGCAUCGCUGAUUUUGUAACUCUGAAUUCUGUAUUGUAGGGAAGUUAGUUACAGAAUAACUUUCUCACCAUUUUUUUUCAUGUAAAAUGAUGAUCUCCGAACUAAUUUCUUAUAAUUCAUCGCAAUCACCGUUCUUUUCAAUUUCAUUGGAGACUUAACAGGGGAAAAGACGCUGCAAGAGAAACAAGACUUAACAAUAAAACUUAUGCACAAGAUUGGACUAUACGAAGACUUGCAGGAUCGCCCUGCACACCAUUCAGUAUUAGAUACACACAUGGAAUGAAGUUCAUCACAUUCAGUGCAUUUCAAUCAGCAGCUUAAAAUAGCUUGUCGAACAACAAGUAUCUUCUGUAGUCAUGUAGAAAAACACAUCCUUACAUCCAGUGUUGGUUGUGUUUCACUUAUGCUGGAGCGCACACCUAUUCAAACACGUCACACUUGAAAAAAACAAAGAAGGAUUAAAAACUGGAGCAUGCAUCUCUGUAUGCUAAAUUCUUCCGUUUGCAGUCUGGCAUUUGUUUUAUGCUCAAAAUCAAGUCCUUCAGCUUGACUUCACUGGUGAUAAUCUUCAGAAAGGGCAAAUGUAUCUCAGUCACAAUAAUCCAUCAUUUGCAGCCCUGGCAACAAUCCUACAAAGAUGUCAAACACAGGAGUCACCAUUACAAGCUAGUGUCAUACAAAAUCAAUCAUCAGGCACAUGAAUAUUACGAACCAUGGUAAUUACUUUCAUCAGGUCUUCAAUCUACUAUUUCAAGCAUGCCAGCCGCCUCCUAAUUGAAUAUUCCCAUCCUAGCAGGUCAGGUCGUGAUCAUAGAUGGUGUCAGAAGUUAUGCAUGCAAAUCAACACCAAAUUGGAAAGUAUAUAUACAGGAGAAUGACUGUAUACGGCAUCUACAAGCAAAAAAUAUGUUAUAUGUAAAAAGGCAUCAGGCAUUUAAACAAAAUUACACAUAUUCAAACCUUAUGUCAUGGAGCUAGUGAAUUUCGAGAAAAAACGUUAAGACAACUAACAGGGAAAAUAAUCACAGAGAGCAGUCAGCUGUAGCAUACAGUAUUGGUUCAAAAUGACAGGAAAAAUAAAUUCAUCAGCCACUUGGAUUAGAACUAAUAUAGUUUGGCUGCAGUAAUUCCAUCAUGCCACACUUUAAUAUGUUAGUAAAGGAAGUUUGACUGAUUAUACGUGAUUUGAAUUAGCUUUUACAACCGAGGUAACAAGGACGGCAAAGAUCAUCUGAUAACUAAAUUCCUUUGAGGGACAAGAGAAGAGAUGCACAAGGAUGACUACACUAAAGUGCAUCAUUAAUUUCUGCCUACACUUGUUGACUGAAUUUUACUAGAGGUUCUAAACACCGUUAAAACUUUUUAAUCACUAAAUUGUACUACCACAUCUUGUCGUAACUACUAGUAUGCUUAUUAAGUCAAUAGUUGCUUUUUUGCCAAAACACCAAUUGAAUUCCUGGUCACUUUAUUAAAAGAAAUGGAAAAAAAAAAGACCGGAGGUUACCUUCGUAACGGACAUCUAGUGUUUUCUCCUCGAGAUAAUCCAGACGUUGUUGUAGGCUCGGGGGAAGUAACUUUAUACUAGGACAAGAUUCAAUCCUAAGAGCUCUAAGAUCUGAGUACGCUUGAGGCCCAUUCGGUAAGGAUUGCAGGCUUCUGCAAUCACGAAGGCGGAGGUCUUCCAGCGACGGGAGCCUUCCUAAGCAAGAUUCCAGUGAUUUCAAUUUACUGCAGUCCGCAAUACGUAAUGUUUGGAGGGCAUCCAGCUGUCCUGAUAGGGAUCGAAGAUUAUCGCAGCCAUGAAUCGACAAGAUCUUGAUGGACGGAGGAAGAUUGGCAACCUCUGACAAACCAGGGCAAUACAAUAUGUAUAGCGAUUCUAGGCAUGGAAGGAAGGGAUGGCUGGUUGAUGAUGACAACUUUAGUACAGCUGUAGACACCCUGGCCUCACUGCUGGAUGCCGGAAUUAGUGAUGACGUAUCCUCCUGUUGACCGAAUAUGAUGGACCCGAGCAUAUCGCAGUUUUCAAUAUGUAAUGUCUUGAGAGAUGCUGGUAGGUUGGGAACCUCUACCAAAGAUGGACAGAAACUUAACUGUAGAGACUCUAGACAUGGCAGGAGUCCACUCCGUUCCGGAGCAGAUUGCUCAGACGUUUCUUGUGUGCGUCCAGUCAGUUUGCUGCAUUGCCAAAUAUAUAACGUCCUCAAGGAUAACAGGGCCUGGAACACGUUUUCUGGCCAAUAGACAAGAGCGUCGCAUUCACAAAUUUUUAAAUCUACGAGCUGUGCAAAACAUGUCCAUAGUGGCAGUGCACUUGAGUGGGAGAACAAAAGGUUGUAUCUCCGUAAAACCAUACGUGUCAGAGGGGAUCUAUGCUCCCAUUUCUCCCUGCCAUGCACCAACUCACUCGAAUUUUGUUCAGCCACCGAUUCUGUUUCUGUGUUAUCGCCAAACAACCUCAGGCUGGACGAUGAAGUGAUAUAUCUGCUAGCUGCGUGCAGGGACAAUAUUUGUUGGCUGGCUCCUUGUACUUCUAAUACACUUAGCUUAGGUGCUUCGGGUAGAGUAGUCAACGCUGGGCAACUCCGAAUUAUUAGUUUCUCAAGCCGAUGAAAUGUUAGCUCUUCUCCUGGAGUUCCUUCGCCAUCCUCCCAUCGCUGAAACAUCUCAAGAUUUUCUAAUUCCAUUUCCUUCAAUGCUGGAAAUGCAGACUUGUACUCAGUCUUGACCCCUUCAGAUGUUUCUUUAAUUACUGAUGCUUUCGGCAAUGCAGCCAGACUUUUACACUCGUUGAUUAACAGCUUCUCAAGCAGAGGAAACAUUGGCAUUUCUCCUCGCACCUCACUUGUGCCCCACCAUAUCUCAAAGUUUGGCAACUUAAAAAUUGCAAGGUUCUUCAGUUUCUGAAAUGUGAAGGCUGUAUCACUGCUGCACAAGUAACGUAUGUUUUCCAAUCCGCACAAGCAAAGAAUUUGCAGAGCUGGUAACUGCCAGAAUGCAGGAAGAUUCUCGAGUCUUUUGCAAUCCGAUAACUCAAGCUCCACUAUGCCUUGCAACUUAUUCAUCCAUGUUGGACAAGUGUCGAUACCGCAGGAAUAUAUCUUUAGAACCUUCAGCCCAUCAUGAGGCUCCAGACCUUCCAGCACCUCUUUAUCACUAUUAUGUGCCUCCUUGUCACAAUCACUCCAUCUCAAUGUCAAUCUGGCCAGUUUUUUCUUAUUUCCGAGUUUUGCCUCUUUUGCAUCUGCCUCUUUCACAUUUUCUAGCUGUUUUAGCUCCAGCUGACCACCAAGGUCGUCUAACCGCCUCAGUUCUCCCACCCUACUGCAAUCAGAGCCUGCACCUGCUACAAAGCAUGUCAGCGUCUGUAGGGAAGUGAGGUGUCUGAGGUCAGCAGGCAUGCUCUUUAACUUCAAACAUCCGUGAGUGUAGAGGUGACGGAGGGCAGUCAUGUACUUCAUUCCCUUUGGAAGUCGUUCAAGAU